rnacentral:tRNA from 1 species
GGGGCAGUAGCCCAGUGGUAGAGCUCACGCCUCGUAAGCUGGAAGACCUGGGUUCGAUUCCCGGAUGUUUUC